CCUACGGGAGGCAGCAGUAGGGAAUCUUCCACAAUGGGCGAAAGCCUGAUGGAGCAACGCCGCGUGGGUGAAGAAGGUCUUCGGAUCGUAAAACCCUGUUGUUAGAGAAGAAAGUGCGUGAGAGUAACUGUUCACGUUUCGACGGUAUCUAACCAGAAAGCCAGGGCUAACUACGUGCCAGAAGCCGCGGGAAUACGUAGGUGGCAAGCGUUAUCCGGAUUUAUUGGGCGUAAAGGGAACGCAGGCGGUCCUUUAAGUCUGAUGGUAAAGCCUUCGGCUUAACCGGGGUAGUGCAUUGGAAACUGGGAUACUUGAGUGCAGAAGAGGAGAGUGGAACUCCAAGUGUAGCGGUGAAAUGCGUAGAUAUAUGGAGGAACACCAGUGGCGAAGGCGGCUCGCUGGUCAGUAACUGACGCUGAGGUUCGAAAGCGUGGGUAGCAAACAGGAUUAGAUACCCCGGUAGUC
rnacentral:rRNA from 1 species